CGAUUGACUGAGUGGCGCACGGGUGAGUAACACGUAUCCAACCUGCCGAUAACUCCGGAAUAGCCUUUCGAAAGAAAGAUUAAUACCGGAUAGCAUACGAAUAUCGCAUGAUAUUUUUAUUAAAGAAUUUCGGUUAUCGAUGGGGAUGCGUUCCAUUAGUUUGUUGGCGGGGUAACGGCCCACCAAACCGACGAUGGAUAGGGGUUCUGAGAGGAAGGUCCCCCACAUUGGUACUGAGACACGGACCAA
rnacentral:rRNA from 1 species